rnacentral:RNase_P_RNA from 3 species
UAAGAGGGCUAGACGAUUGCCCUGCCUAGCUUUAUGCGAUGCAGGGAGGAAAGUCCGAACACCAUUUUAGCCUUUAAUAAAAGGUGAAUAGUCGGUAAUUCCGACCCAAUAGACAGCUUUGCUGUUUGUUGAGGACAAGUGCAACAGAAAAUAUUCCAGCCGAGCUGCUCGUGAGCAGCUGGGUAAUGGGUGAAAAGGUGGUAAUUCCCUAAAAAGAAUUUGUUGGCUUACGAGUCAAUGGUAAGAGACCACCAGCAAAUAUGGUGACAUAUUUGGCUAGGUAAACUUCUAUUCGGUGCAAGCUCAAGUAGGUUCAGACCUUCGGGUUAUGAACGGGUUGAGUGCAAGAUCAUAUUAAGCAAUUAAUAUGGCUAGAUAGAUAAUCGUCCGUGGCUCGUUUGACGAACCACGACAGAAUUCGGCUUAUCGGUUCUCUUAAGCA